GAUGAACGCUGGCGGCGUGCCUAAUACAUGCAAGUCGAGCGAACGGACGAGAAGCUUGCUCCUCUGAUGUUAGCGGCGGACGGGUGAGUAACACGUGGAUAACCUACCUAUAAGACUGGGAUAACUUCGGGAAACCGGAGCUAAUACCGGAUAAUAUUUUGAACCGCAUGGUUCAAAAGUGAAAGACGGUCUUGCUGUCACUUAUAGAUGGAUCCGCGCUGCAUUAGCUAGUUGGUAAGGUAACGGCUUACCAAGGCAACGAUGCGUAGCCGACCUGAGAGGGUGAUCGGCCACACUGGAACUGGGACACGGUCCAGACUCCUAGGGGAGGCAGCAGUAGGGAAUCUUCCGCAAUGGGCGAAGGCCUGACGGAGCAACGCCGCGUGGGUGAUGAAGGUCUUCGGAUCGUAAAACUCUUUUAUUAGGAAGGAACAUAUGUGUAAGUAACUGUGCACAUCUUGACGGUACCUAAUCAGAAAGCCACGGCUAACUACGUG
rnacentral:rRNA from 1 species